GGUUAAGUGACUAAGCGUACACGGUGGAUGCCUUGGCAGUCAGAGGCGAUGAAAGACGUAGUAACUUGCGAUAAGCCCAGAUUAGGUAGUAACAACCAUUUGAGUCUGGGAUUUCUGAAUGGGGAAACCCACGUGCAUAAGCACGUAUCCUUACCUGAAUACAUAGGGUAAGGAGGCGAACCGGGGGAACUGAAACAUCUAAGUACCCCGAGGAAAAGAAAUCAACCGAGAUUCCGAAAGUAGCGGCGAGCGAAAUUGGACUAGCCCUUAAGCUUUACACGCGUUAGACGAACGGUCUGGAAAGUCCGACGAUACAGGGUGAUAGUCCCGUAGUUGACGACGUGUGUUCAGUGAAAUCGAGUAGGGCGGGACACGUGAUAUCCUGUCUGAAUAUGGGGGGACCAUCCUCCAAGGCUAAAUACUACUGACUGACCGAUAGUGAACCAGUACCGUGAGGGAAAGGCGAAAAGAACCCCUGUGAGGGGAGUGAAAUAGAACCUGAAACCGUGUACGUACAAGCAGUAGGAGCAGGCUUGUCCUGUGACUGCGUACCUUUUGUAUAAUGGGUCAGCGACUUAUAUUCAGUGGCAAGGUUAACCAUCUAGGGGAGCCGUAGGGAAACCGAGUCUUAACUGGGCGUUCAGUCUCUGGAUAUAGACCCGAAACCAGGUGAUCUAGCCAUGGGCAGGUUGAAGGUUGAGUAACAUCAACUGGAGGACCGAACCGACUAAUGUUGAAAAAUUAGCGGAUGACUUGUGGCUAGGGGUGAAAGGCCAAUCAAACCUGGAGAUAGCUGGUUCUCCCCGAAAGCUAUUUAGGUAGCGCCUCGGACGAAUACUACUGGGGGUAGAGCACUGUUAAGGCUAGGGGGUCAUCCCGACUUACCAACCCUUUGCAAACUCCGAAUACCAGUAAGUACUAUCCGGGAGACACACGGCGGGUGCUAACGUCCGUCGUGGAGAGGGAAACAACCCAGACCGCCAGCUAAGGUCCCAAAUUACUACUAAGUGGGAAACGAUGUGGGAAGGCUCAGACAGCCAGGAUGUUGGCUUAGAAGCAGCCAUCAUUUAAAGAAAGCGUAAUAGCUCACUGGUCGAGUCGGCCUGCGCGGAAGAUGUAACGGGGCUAAGUAGUAAACCGAAGCUGCGGCAAUGUGCUUUUGCACAUUGGGUAGGGGAGCGUUCUGUAAGCGGUUGAAGGUGUGUGGUAACGCAUGCUGGACGUAUCAGAAGUGCGAAUGCUGACAUGAGUAACGAUAAAGGGGGUGAAAAACCUCCUCGCCGGAAGACCAAGGGUUCCUGUCCAACGUUAAUCGGGGCAGGGUAAGUCGACCCCUAAGGCGAGGCCGAAAGGCGUAGUCGAUGGGAAACGGGUUAAUAUUCCCGUACUUCUUACAAUUGCGAUGGGGGGACGGAGAAGGCUAGGUGGGCCUGGCGACGGUUGUCCAGGUUCAAGUGCGUAGGCUUAAGAGUUAGGUAAAUCCGGCUCUUUCUAAGGCUGAGACACGACGUCGAGCACCUACGGGUGUGAAGUCAUUGAUGCCAUGCUUCCAGGAAAAGCCUCUAAGCUUCAGAUUGUAAGGAAUCGUACCCCAAACCGACACAGGUGGUCGGGUAGAGAAUACCAAGGCGCUUGAGAGAACUCGGGUGAAGGAACUAGGCAAAAUGGUACCGUAACUUCGGGAGAAGGUACGCUCUUGAUGGUGAAGUCCCUUGCGGAUGGAGCUGACGAGAGUCGCAGAUACCAGGUGGCUGCAACUGUUUAUUAAAAACACAGCACUGUGCAAAAUCGUAAGAUGACGUAUACGGUGUGACGCCUGCCCGGUGCCGGAAGGUUAAUUGAUGGGGUUAGACUUCGGUCGAAGCUCUUGAUCGAAGCCCCGGUAAACGGCGGCCGUAACUAUAACGGUCCUAAGGUAGCGAAAUUCCUUGUCGGGUAAGUUCCGACCUGCACGAAUGGCGUAAUGAUGGCCACGCUGUCUCCACCCGAGACUCAGUGAAAUUGAAAUCGCUGUGAAGAUGCAGUGUACCCGCGGCUAGACGGAAAGACCCCGUGAACCUUUACUACAGCUUGGCACUGAACAUUGACCCUACAUGUGUAGGAUAGGUGGGAGGCUUUGAAGCACGUACGCCAGUAUGUGUGGAGCCGUCCUUGAAAUACCACCCUUGUAGUGUUGAUGUUCUAACGUCGACCCCUAAUCGGGGUUGCGGACAGUGCCUGGUGGGUAGUUUGACUGGGGCGGUCUCCUCCCAAAGAGUAACGGAGGAGCACGAAGGUGGGCUAAUCACGGUUGGACAUCGUGAGGUUAGUGCAAUGGCAUAAGCCCGCUUGACUGCGAGAAUGACAAUUCGAGCAGGUGCGAAAGCAGGUCAUAGUGAUCCGGUGGUUCUGAAUGGAAGGGCCAUCGCUCAACGGAUAAAAGGUACUCCGGGGAUAACAGGCUGAUACCGCCCAAGAGUUCAUAUCGACGGCGGUGUUUGGCACCUCGAUGUCGGCUCAUCACAUCCUGGGGCUGAAGUCGGUCCCAAGGGUAUGGCUGUUCGCCAUUUAAAGUGGUACGCGAGCUGGGUUUAGAACGUCGUGAGACAGUUCGGUCCCUAUCUGCCGUGGGCGUUGGAAGAUUGAAGGGGGCUGCUCCUAGUACGAGAGGACCGGAGUGGACGAACCUCUGGUGUUCGGGUUGUGUCGCCAGACGCAUUGCCCGGUAGCUAAGUUCGGAAUCGAUAACCGCUGAAAGCAUCUAAGCGGGAAGCGAGCCCUGAGAUGAGUCUUCCCUGAUACUUUAAGUAUCCUAAAGGGUUGUCGGAGACUACGACGUUGAUAGGUCAGGUGUGUAAGUGCUGUGAGGCAUUGAGCUAACUGAUACUAAUUGCCCGUGAGGCUUAACCAU
rnacentral:rRNA from 1 species